rnacentral:rRNA from 1 species
GACGAACGCUGGCGGCGUGCUUAACACAUGCAAGUCGAGCGAAAAGACCCUGCUUUUGUUGCGUUCUCGAGUGGCGAGCGGGGGAGUAACACAUGUGUAAACUGUCCUUGUAUGUGGGGGAUCUUCACGAGAAUGGGGCUAAAACCGCGGAUGAUCUCUUGCAGCGCGUGGGUGGUUGGUAAAAGUCGGCUGUUGGGGAUGGAAUAGAUGGUUAUCAGCUUGUUUGUGAGGUAGUGGCGUACGAAGGCUUUGACGGGUAGCCGGCCUGAGAGGGUGGACGGGGACCUUGGGCCUGAGAUACGCAGCAGAAUCGUACGGGAGGCAGUAGUGGGGAGUCUUGCACAACGGGCGGAAGUGUGAUGUAGCAACGCUGCGUGCGGGAUGCCGGCCUUUGGGUUGUAAACCGCUUUGGACUGUGACGAAGCGGGCGUGACGGUAAUGGGUAAAGAAGCACCGGCUAACUACGUG